rnacentral:rRNA from 1 species
AUUCCUACGGGAGGCAGCAGUGAGGAAUAUUGGUCAAUGGAGGCAACUCUGAACCAGCCAAGUCGCGUGAAGGAUGAAGGUCUUAUGGAUUGUAAACUUCUUUUGCAAGGGAAUAAAGUGGGGGACGUGUCCUCCUUUGCAUGUACCUUGCGAAUAAGGAUCGGCUAACUCCGUGCCAGCAGCCGCGGUAAUACGGAGGAUCCGAGCGUUAUCCGGAUUUAUUGGGUUUAAAGGGUGCGCAGGCGGGAUGUUAAGUCGGCGGUGAAAUUUUGCAGCUCAACUGUAAAAGUGCCUUCGAUACUGGCUUUCUUGAGUGUGGAUGAAGUAGGCGGAAUUUGUGGUGUAGCGGUGAAAUGCUUAGAUAUCACGAGGAACUCCGAUUGCGCAGGCAGCUUACUAAACCACUACUGACGCUCAUGCACGAAGGCGUGGGGAUCAAACAGGAUUAGAUACCCUGGUAGUCCACGCAGUAAACGAUGAUUACUAGUUGUUUGCGAUACAAUGUAAGCGACUGAGCGAAAGCGUUAAGUAAUCCACCUGGGGAGUACGUUCGCAAGAAUGAAACUCAAAUGAAUUGACGGAAU